CCUACGGGAGGCAGCAGUGAGGAAUAUUGGUCAAUGGGCGCGAGCCUGAACCAGCCAAGUCGCGUGAGGGAAGACGGUCCUAUGGAUUGUAAACCUCUUUUGUCGGGGAGCAAAAGACGCCACGCGUGGCGUUCCGAGAGUACCCGAAGAAAAAGCAUCGGCAAACUCCGUGCCAGCAGCCGCGGUAAUACGGGGGAUGCGAGCGUUAUCCGGAUUUAUUGGGUUAAAAGGGUGCGCAGGCGGAAGAUCAAGUCAGCGGUAAAAGUGAGAGGCUCAACCUCUUCGAGCCGUUGAAACUGGUUUUCUUGAGUGAGCGAGAAGUAUGCGGAAUGCGUGGUGUAGCGGUGAAAUGCAUAGAUAUCACGAAGAACUCCGAUUGCGAAGGCAGCAUACCGGCGCUCAACUGACGCUCAUGCACGAAAGUGUGGGUAUCGAACAGGAUUAGAUACCCGGGUAGUC
rnacentral:rRNA from 1 species